GACGAACGCUGGCGGCGUGCCUAACACAUGCAAGUUGAGCGACGAACCAGGGCUUGCCCUGGUGCAAAGCAGCGAACGGGUGAGUAACACGUGGGUAACCUACCCCGAUAACCGGGACAACCCGCGGAAACUCGGGCUAAUACCGGAUGUGCUCACUGGACUUCGGUUCAGUGCGUAAAGGAAGCUUCGGCCUCCGUAUCGGGAGGGGCCCGCGGCCCAUUAGUUUGUUGGUGAGGUAACGGCUCACCAAGACCGCGAUGGGUAGCUGGUCUGAGAGGACGAUCAGCCACACUGGGACUGAGACACGGCCCAGACUCCUACGGGAGGCAGCAGUGGGGAAUCUUGCGCAAUGGGCGAAAGCGUGACGCAGCAACGCCGCGUGGGGGAAGAAGGCCUUCGGGUUGUAAACCCCUUUCAGGAGGGACGAAGGUUCGGCGGUGAAUAGCCGUCCGGACUGACGGUACCUCCACAAGAAGCCCCGGCUAACUACGUG
rnacentral:rRNA from 1 species